GCUAAAAUAUCUGGACGAGAGAGACGGUGAACAGAACUGUCAACACCUGGCUACUGGGAGCGCCCCCUGUCUGAGUUCCUGGCCAACCUCCAGCCAUGAAGAUCCUUUACCUGCUCUCUGCUGUUGUCUUCUUGGUGCUCCUGACUGCCCCAGGAUUCUCCCAGGCUAGAUAUUCUCCAAAGAAAUGUAAACGCCGUGGUGGUUCCUGUUACCUUAGGGGAUGUCCCUCUAAUUCUGUGUACCUUGGAAAAUGCUGGAUUGGCUCUUGCUGUCAAAGGGAAUUUAUCUACUGAUUGUCUAGGCAGGAUCUCUGGGAAUCUGGCAGAGAUCCACUGGCUUCUAAAAUCAUCAGACCCUGGUUCAAUGGAACCCUGAAGUGCUGCUUAUUUGGGCUAUAAAUAACCUUGUGAGCUGGAGAAAUUCCAGAAAGAAGCUCUUGUAUCACCAUAUAAUAUUUGUUACUCUUCUUUUAAUAAAAGCAAGCUGGUUUAAGAUCAUA